GUGCUUAUUUCAGUAGUACAUGUACUAAAAUUGGAAUGAUACAGAGAAGAUUAGCACAGCUCCUGUGCAAGGAUGACAUGCAAAUUUUUGAAUUGUUCUGGAUGAAC